rnacentral:lncRNA from 1 species
CCCGCCUGGAGCUAUUGCUGUGAUCCAUUUCAGGAGGAGGUUUUCUAUACACUGACGAAUUCCCCUUGUUGACUUUUCCUAACUGACAGCCAUCUCAGUUACCCUCUUCACCAAGAUCAAGAUGGUCUUCCCCACCCUGUUCAAACUCUCAGAGACUCUGACCUUUAACUUCACUUCUGUGUGCACUGGCUCCUUGUGAUCACUCCAGGCAUCUACUCUUCUCUUUAGACAAAGCACAGUGUUGCCGGAGACACUGGAAAUGUCUCUAUCAGUGUGUCCUGUGGAACCACCAAGGAGGGAAGCUGUGAGAGAGAAAAAAGAGGAGAGAACAGAAGUAUCCUCAGUAAUUGUGGAAAUAACAGGAGAGUCCCAAGAUAGGAACACUGAGAUCUGUCCUCUUGCACUGUCUGUUUGAGAGUAACUGAGCCUGUAAUGAGUCAUCUGUCAUACCAUCCAGUCAGGAGAGAGCUCACAAAAAGAAUACAAUAAAUAUUUCACAACUCUCCAAAAUGUUCUAUUUUACAAGGAAAUUUUUGUUAAGUUUCUGACUUAUUUCACUGUUUUAUUCAAUCCAAAUCUCAGUCUGCUUUCCUCCUCCCAGGUGAAACCACAGGUGAAUGACA